GAGCACUCAGAAGUGGGGUAAUCCAUCAAAAGUUGUGACACGUUUAAGGGACGCACCAAUGACGCGCAGGCUAUCAUACAUGCACACACAC